AUGAAGCUGGAUUCGCUAGUAAUCGCGCAUCAGCCACGGCGCGGUGAAUACGUUCCCGGGCCUUGUACACACCGCCCGUCAAGCCAUGGAAGCCGGGAGUGCCUGAAGUGCGUGAGCGCAAGCAGCGCCCUAAGGUAAAACCGGUGGCUGGGGCUAAGUCGUAACAAGGUAAC
rnacentral:rRNA from 1 species